AUGACAAUUAAGCUGUUCCGCAGCCUUGUUCACUUGGUUCCCCUAUUAUGGCUCUAUGCCAGGGUCAAGAAGGCCUGAAUUUAUCCACCUGCAGCAACAUGGCAAGGAAAGAGGAAACGUCCCAAGGUUAGGGAUAUGUCUCAAAAUACCUAGUACAAGAGGCCUAAACCUGGAUGGAUAUCAUUUACUCAUCCACCACCCCCCAUUCACUAAUCCAUCAUUCUUAGAACUUUCACUCCAGCCUGUUAUACUCCAGGUCCUGAAUUUUGGAGAGACAAGAUAAGACUGUGGACCAGGCUCAGCAAGCAAUACUUAGUGGGACAAAUGAGCUGGGGGUCACUGGGACAUCUGUUGUUGAGUUGCUGGGUGACUCUGGGCUCAUGGUACCCACUCUACAAAUGUGUGCUGCUCCUACUACUCAAAAGCCCGUGGCAGAGCCAAACAUCUGGACAAACAGCUCUGAUAUGUUAUUAACUGAAAAAAUUGAAGGAAAAAAGAAACUCAUCCUAGAAGAGAGAAGAAAGCUGUGGGGAACCAGCUGGCCCAAGUGACUUCGCCCAGGGAGAACCCAUGGUCACAGUGGACAAGGGGGCCAACUUUGGGCGCUGGGGACAAAGGGAGCCUCUCUUGAGAGUGUUUGUGUUGGUUUCAGUCCAGUUUCUCCAAAGAAGAAAAGAAAAUUUGAAGAUCAG